GCCUGGCUCAGUGGAAGAGCAUCUGCUUUGCAUGCAGAAGGUCCCAGGUUCGAGUCCGGGCACCUCCA